AAAACAAUCGGGUGGUUCUAGUCGGUGAGCCUGUGAAAACCGACCGAGUUCGUUGUGAUCUCGCAAAAACAACAAGUUGGGUUGUGAACUUGUAAAACAACCGGCUGUAAUCCUAGAAAUUAUAGUGAACUCCCAAGUGCGGCUUGGGGAGUGGACGUAGGAGCAAGAGUUGGCUCCGAACCACUAUAAAGUCUCUUGAGUUUGU
rnacentral:lncRNA from 1 species